rnacentral:rRNA from 1 species
AUUGAACGCUGGCGGCAUGCCUUACACAUGCAAGUCGAACGGCAGCACGGGUGCUUGCACCUGGUGGCGAGUGGCGAACGGGUGAGUAAUACAUCGGAACAUGUCCUGUAGUGGGGGAUAGCCCGGCGAAAGCCGGAUUAAUACCGCAUACGAUCCACGGAUGAAAGCGGGGGACCUUCGGGCCUCGCGCUAUAGGGUUGGCCGGUGGCUGAUUAGCUAGUUGGUGGGGUAAAGGCCUACCAAGGCGACGAUCAGUAGCUGGUCUGAGAGGACGACCAGCCACACUGGGACUGAGACACGGCCCAGACUCCUACGGGAGGCAGCAGUGGGGAAUUUUGGACAAUGGGCGAAAGCCUGAUCCAGCAAUGCCGCGUGUGUGAAGAAGGCCUUCGGGUUGUAAAGCACUUUUGUCCGGAAAGAAAUCCUUGACUCUAAUACAGUCGGGGGAUGACGGUACCGGAAGAAUAAGCACCGGCUAACUACGUG